rnacentral:rRNA from 1 species
GAGUUUGAUCCUGGCUCAGAUUGAACGCUGGCGGCAUGCCUUACACAUGCAAGUCGAACGGCAGCACGGACUUCGGUCUGGUGGCGAGUGGCGAACGGGUGAGUAAUGUAUCGGAACGUACCUUUCAGUGGGGGAUAACGUAGCGAAAGUUACGCUAAUACCGCAUAUUCUGUGAGCAGGAAAGCAGGGGAUCGCAAGACCUUGCGCUGAUUGAGCGGCCGAUAUCAGAUUAGCUAGUUGGUGAGGUAAAGGCUCACCAAGGCGACGAUCUGUAGCGGGUCUGAGAGGAUGAUCCGCCACACUGGAACUGAGACACGGUCCAGACUCCUACGGGAGGCAGCAGUGGGGAAUUUUGGACAAUGGGGGCAACCCUGAUCCAGCCAUGCCGCGUGAGUGAAGAAGGCCUUCGGGUUGUAAAGCUCUUUCGGCCGGGAAGAAAUCGCAUGGGUUAAUACCCUGUGCGGAUGACGGUACCGGCAUAAGAAGCACCGGCUAACUACGUGCCAGCAGCCGCGGUAAUACGUAGGGUGCGAGCGUUAAUCGGAAUUACUGGGCGUAAAGCGUGCGCAGGCGGUUUUUUAAGACAGGCGUGAAAUCCCCGGGCUCAACCUGGGAACUGCGCUUGUGACUGGAAGGCUAGAGUAUGGCAGAGGGGGGUGGAAUUCCACGUGUAGCAGUGAAAUGCGUAGAGAUGUGGAGGAACACCAAUGGCGAAGGCAGCCCCCUGGGCCAAUACUGACGCUCAUGCACGAAAGCGUGGGUAGCAAACAGGAUUAGAUACCCUGGUAGUCCACGCCCUAAACGAUGUCAACUAGGUGUUGGGUGGGUAAAACCAUUUAGUACCGGAGCUAACGCGUGAAGUUGACCGCCUGGGGAGUACGGCCGCAAGGUUAAAACUCAAAGGAAUUGACGGGGACCCGCACAAGCGGUGGAUGAUGUGGAUUAAUUCGAUGCAACGCGAAAAACCUUACCUACCCUUGACAUGUCCAGGAGCCUGAAGAGAUUUGGGUGUGCCCGAAAGGGAACUGGAACACAGGUGCUGCAUGGCUGUCGUCAGCUCGUGUCGUGAGAUGUUGGGUUAAGUCCCGCAACGAGCGCAACCCUUGUCGUUAAUUGCCAUCAUUUAGUUGGGCACUUUAACGAGACUGCCGGUGACAAACCGGAGGAAGGUGGGGAUGACGUCAAGUCCUCAUGGCCCUUAUGGGUAGGGCUUCACACGUCAUACAAUGGUCGGUACAAAGGGUUGCCAAGCCGCGAGGUGGAGCCAAUCCCAGAAAGCCGAUCGUAGUCCGGAUCGCAGGCUGCAACUUGCCUGCGUGAAGUCGGAAUCGCUAG